rnacentral:pre_miRNA from 1 species
CAACUCUCAUCCUACACCGUUGGAUCGAGAAAUGGACGCCCGAGAUUCAUCCACGUCACCAUGAGUUAAAAUUUAACUCACAGAUUCACUCAUGAGUUAAAAUUUUCUGGGAGUUAAAUUUUAACUCAUGGUGACGUGGACGAAUCUCGGGCGUCCAUUUCUCGAUCCAACGGUGUAGGAUGAGAGUUG